rnacentral:rRNA from 1 species
AUAGAGAUAUAGUGGAGGUUAUCAUGGAGACAGGUGGUGCAUGGUUGUCGUCAGCUCGUGUCGUGAGAUGUUGGGUUAAGUCCCGCAACGAGCGCAACCCUUAUUGCUAGUUACCAUCAUUAAGUUGGGGGACUCUAGCGAGACUGCCAGUGAUAAACUGGAGGAAGGUGGGGAUGACGUCAAAUCAUCAUGCCCCUUAUGACCUGGGCUACAAACGUGAUACAAUGGCUGAAACAAAGGGCAGCGAAGCAGUGAUGUGAAGCGAAACCCAAAAAAGCAGUCUCAGUUCGGAUUGAAGUCUGCAACUCGACUUCAUGAAGUCGGAAUCGCUAGUAAUCGCGAAUCAGAACGUCGCGGUGAAUACGUUCUCGGGGUUU